ACGUGCGAUGCGAUAGUCUCACGUGUUCAAUAACGACGUCGUUUCAUCCUUAAAUCUCAUCUCAAUUUUAACCUAUAAAAUUAUCAAUUUAUUUCGAAGGCGUGGCCGAAUCAAGAAGCGGUCGAAACCUUCACGAGAUUCACCGGCGCUUCCGGGUCUCUCGCCAUGCGUAAGCUCGAGGUCCACUCUCCGUUGGAGUAACACUGCAGCACUUGAAUUUUGUGUUGGUUUGUCGUUUUAAUUUUCAGGUUUUCAAAUUUCAACCACGACAUGUACUUUUACUGAUUGUUGAUGAAAUUUUAGCAUUCAAAGUACUGAAUGAACACAUUCACAGUAAUAUCCGAAUGAUUGAUCCGAGUUUCGCAUCUAAUUAUUGAUGAUCAGGCAAGGCCAUAUCGAAGGUGUACUUUUGGAGUUGAAGAUGGUAAGAUGAUGUUGAGAGAUCUCGGCCUCACCGGCAAGCAAGAAGCCUUGUUUGUGGAGUUAAUAUGAUGCAGGUGCAGUCCAAUACUGCUUGGUUGCAACCAAUACCUUUUCUCUAUGAUGGGGUCCUUUCUCAUGGUCUGCGAUUCUGCAUUCCCAUUGCAUAGCCUCUGCGAUAUUCUUGACCUUCACCAACACAUCCACAUCGUCUCUGAGGAUCACGCUGCCCUGUGGCCGGAGAAUCCUGUCCAUCUCUAGCAGAAUAUCCUCCAUUUCACAUCUGCAACACAGGGACGAUGUUCAUGACCCACAGAGGAUCGUCAACAAGGGCAGCUGCAAAGCCACCCAAGAAUGAGUUCAUGUCAAGCAAAUUGCGGUACCUCCCAGGCUCAGCAAGCUGGUUGUCCAAGGCCUUAAGUCAGUCUCUCUGGCCAAUUGAGCAGCUGCCCACCAGCUGUUUCUUUUAUGUCAGACACUUCAGGAAGUGGCGUCAAGCAAGGCUCCAUUUUUGUGUACCUGCACUUAGACGACAAGUGUAAAAAUAAGGUAAUUAUUAUGACAAAAAAGGUGGAAACUGUUCUCAGUAGGGAUAGAUUUCUGUUGAUUCUUAGCAAGAAAACCAAGCUUAGAAUAAAGCAAUAGCUGGUGAAAGAAGCAACGAGCUCAACCCCUUGAGCAUCUUUUUG